rnacentral:rRNA from 1 species
UACGUAGGGGGCAAGCGUUGUCCGGAUUCAUUGGGCGUAAAGAGCUCGUAGGCGGUUCAGUAAGUCGGGUGUGAAAGCUCCGAGCUCAACUCGGAGAGGCCACCCGAUACUGCUGUGGCUUGAGUCCAGUAGAGGAGCGUGGAAUUCCUGGUGUAGCGGUGAAAUGCGCAGAUAUCAGGAGGAACACCAGCCGCGAAGGCGGCGCUCUGGGCUGGAACUGACGCUGAGGAGCGAAAGCGUGGGUAGCAAACAGG